AACGCUAGCUACAGGCUUAACACAUGCAAGUCGAGGGGCAGCAUGAACUUAGCUUGCUAAGUUUGAUGGCGACCGGCGCACGGGUGAGUAACGCGUAUCCAACCUUCCGUACACUCNGGAAUAGCCUUUCGAAAGAAAGAUUAAUACCUGAUGGUAUGAUGAGAUUGCAUGAAAUCAUCAUUAAAGAUUCAUCGGUGUACGAUGGGGAUGCGUUCCAUUAGAUAGUAGGCGGGGUAACGGCCCACCUAGUCAACGAUGGAUAGGGGUUCUGAGAGGAAGGUCCCCCACAUUGGAACUGAGACACGGUCCAAACUCCUACGGGAGGCAGCAGUGAGGAAUAUUGGUCAAUGGGCGCGAGCCUGAACCAGCCAAGUAGCGUGAAGGAUGAAGGUCCUACGGAUUGUAAACUUCUUUUAUAAGGGAAUAAAGUCACCUACGUGUAGGUGUUUGUAUGUACCUUAUGAAUAAGCAUCGGCUAACUCCGUGCCAGCAGCCGCGGUAAUACGGAGGAUGCGAGCGUUAUCCGGAUUUAUUGGGUUUAAAGGGAGCGUAGACGGGUCGUUAAGUCAGCUGUGAAAGUUUGAGGCUCAACCUUAAAAUUGCAGUUGAUACUGGCNUCCUUGAGUACGGAUGAGGCAGGCGGAAUUCGUGGUGUAGCGGUGAAAUGCAUAGAUAUCACGAAGAACUCCGAUUG
rnacentral:rRNA from 1 species